rnacentral:siRNA from 1 species
CAGUUUCUCUAGCUUCCUCAGCCU